rnacentral:misc_RNA from 1 species
UUAUUAGGUUAUAAUAAAGAUUACAUUUGUUACUUAUAAUAGUUUGUAUAAAAAAGGUCAGACAGCUCUCGUGAGAGAGCCAUCUUACAGUGCACAGGUGUUAUGGAUGUGAAGGGUGCGAGAGGCUUGCCGAAGCAGAGACACUCAGGCGUUGGUAUUCACUAAUGAUCCUUCCGCAGGUUCACCUACGGAAA